CUAGACCCUGCUUAGAGGAACUUCUCUACAACCAUGCAUGGGCACAUUCAGAAACAUUUCCAGUCUCUGAACAUUCAGCAGGUCUUGUUCCUCGUCUCUCAACUAUCACUUCUUCUUCUCUUUAAUUUUCUCUUCUUAAUGAUUUAAAACCUCAGCUUUCCUCUUCAUCUCAUCUGUUUUCCUCAGUGUUGAGCCAGACAUGCCCAGUUUUUUCCCUCCUUAAACUCUCUUUGUGAUACCUGUCUUGACAUGGAUCUCUAGUGUGUAUUUCUCUUUCAGCCUUCUCACUACUGGUCCAGGCAAACUAUGCAAUGAUGAAAUAAGAAGCCGAAGAAAGAUCUCAGAGUUGAUUUGAAGAGUCUGAGAUGACUCAAUUUCCUGUUAUAUUCUAAAGGGAAGCUGACCUAAAAUUUAAGACCUCGUUUACAAAGUACAUGAUUUAUUUAUUUAUGUUUUUCUGAACAGAAGAAGAUGAAGAUAAAAGGUCAACAGACUGAACACUGAACGGUUUCAACGUACAAACUUAAAGGAAUACUUUGAGGAUAUAGCAACUCAGAGGUAUGAACCAUCAAUUCAGAAGUUCAGUUUCUGGUCCCCUGCAGUUUUGUGUCAGCCAAAACUGGUGUUCUUCCCCAAGUGACAGGAAUUGAAAAAAAAACCUUGGUAGGGAUUUUUGAACUACUCUACAUCCAAAGAGCUUGGACAGGACUGGAUGAGAUCAUUUUGCUGUCUAAACAUCAUUACUACCAUGUCAGAAGCCUGUCCUUAAGUGGAAUUAAGAUGCUGGAACCGUACCUGAAGACAGAAACAAUACAAAUCGGAGACUAUAAGACUCAAGAAGAAGCAAAGAAAGGGCACAUUAACUUUCUAAGAAAACAUUUCUUAGCUAUUACUUCAUUUUUUGAAACUCUUUCUAAGUAACCUU
rnacentral:lncRNA from 1 species